AUCGUUACCCGGCAGGGAAGAUGCCGUGAUCUUGAAUGCGGCUCGCUCAGGUUGAGGCUCGGUCACUGCACUGUGGCUUUGCUGGGCCUUGCCUGGUCCCUUGAUGCGGCAAUCUCGACUUUCAUCGACUCAUUUCUGCUAACAGGGGUUCUUCGUUUGCGCUUCCCCCUG